CUACGGGUCGCUCCAGUAAGGAAUAUUGCGCAAUGGGGGAAACCCUGAUGCAGCAACGCCGCGUGGACGAAGAAGGCCUUCGGGUCGUAAAGUCCUUUUCUGAGGGAAGAGGAAGGACGGUACCUCAGGAAUAAGUCUCGGCUAACUACGUGCCAGCAGCCGCGGUAAAACGUAGGAGGCGAGCGUUAUCCGGAUUCACUGGGCGUAAAGGGCAAGUAGGCGGUUGUUUAAGUUAGGUGUGACAUCUCUCGGCUUAACUGGGAGGGAGCGCUUAAAACUAGGCAACUAGAGGGCGGAAGAAGGGGGUAGAACUCCAAAUGUAGCGGUGGAAUGCUCAGAUAUUUGGAAGAAUACCAGUGGCGAAGGCGACCCCCCGGUCCGUGCCUGACGCUGAGAGGCGAAAGCUAGGGUAGCGAACGGGAUUAGAUACCCUAGUAGUC
rnacentral:rRNA from 1 species